rnacentral:lncRNA from 1 species
UCUGACAUCUAUAUAUAAAAUUUUGACAGCACCCCUUUGCAAAAUUGCAUAAAUGAGGGGGGGCAACAGUGUAUAAACAUAUAUCAUGAUAAAAACAUACUAAGUAUUAUUAAUCGGCUAGCAAAGAGAAGUUAAACAUACGACAUGAACUGAAUUAACUAGUGCGCACGACUAGUUAAAAGAAACAAACUCUCUUUGACAAUAAGUUUCUAAUUAAAUCAUGGCUGCGUCUGGGCAGCGUUAUUGUGAGAGUGAAAGUGGACGUGCUGCUACUCCCCUCAUUCCCAACAUGUAUCAAGUACCUGCAUUGAGUAAUGCAAGAGUGAGAUGACACAUCUCAGCAAGUAAAAUAAUAUCAAAUUGUUUAACCACAUAAGAACAUUGUUUUACCACCACUUGAUUCCACAACUUUCUUAUUACGACGGUGCAACACGUAUACAACGUACAACACACCUAGUCACCACACCUCGCAGGUAGAAACCACAAUAGUAACAUAGUAAUGUCACACUUCAUAUAUACCUCAUGAGUGCAAAUGUCUGCAAAUGCAAGGAUGACUUCUACCUUCAUACCUCUAAGGAUAUGAAGCCGCAUCAUACCCCUCCUCGGGCAACGUACAAUUCUAAAAAUGUACUAGUACGGUCGGACCAUAAGAUCACGACAUAACUUCAAAAUGCAAGAUGGAUGAUGCGAUGUGCAUGUCAUGCCUACAACACUUCAUAUAACGUGAUUCAAAAAAGAUACUUCAACUUCAUCCAAGAUGGGAAUCAACCACAUAUAUCAUAACCAAAUUAUGAUCAUCCACAAUAUUAGACAAUUGAGAAUUAAUACUUCCAAACAAAUAAACUUCAUCAUAGAAUUCAAUGAUUAACAUAAUUAAAACUUAUGCAUACUCAAUGACAGGGAAUAGGAUGCAAAGCAAACGGUAGCAACCACCACUAUAUUUACUUGCCUUUACCGGAAGUUCGGGCAAAUCCCUAAGUACGAUCCGGAAGUCCAACACCUGUUUUUUGACACACAACUUAGUGCACCAAUUUCACAUAAUCAGGCUCAUAAACGACGCCGCACCUAUGCACAAACUCAAACCCCGCCGCGGGUUACAUCUCUCCCCACACCCACCAAACUGCAGCGGCGCUGCUUAAUAAUUUCAUAACUUUAAAAUUAUGACAGCAGUGGUAACAAACAAAAACUCUAGAGUCAUCUACAUAAAAUUCCCCACAAGUUUUGUAUACAAUUUAUAAUUAAAUUCCAACAUCUAAUUAGCCCAAAAUAGUCCACAAGAUGAACCCUGUAAUCUGUUUUUUUGUCUUUUGGACAGCGACAUACCCGGAUUCAAACAGCGAUAUCUUUUAAAAUAUAAUUCCAAAUCAAGUGCAUAAGUACUCAUUGGAAAGAUAAGACAAAGCCCUACAUGAUUAUAAUACUGGUUAACACUAAUUACCCACGAAAAAUUCCCAGAAACUGCUAAUACUACUGCUGUUCACCCACCUGAAAAAUCUGUUUCUUUUGGACAGCAACAUAACCGGAUUCAAACAACGAUAUCUGCUAAAUUAUAACUCCGAAUCGAGCGCAUAAGUACUCGUUGGAAAGGUAUGACAAAGCUCUACAUGAUUCUCCCACUGAUCCCCACUAAUUGCCCACGAAAAAUUCCCAGAAACUGCUAAUACUACUGUUGUUCACCCACCUGAAAAAUCUGUUUCUUUUGGACAGCAACAUAACCGGAUUCAAACAAAGAUAUCUUCUAAAUUAUAACUCCGAAUCGAGCGCAUAAGUACUCGUUGGAAAGGUAUGACAAAGCUCUACAUGAUUCUCCCACUGAUCCCCACUAAUUGCCCACGAAAAAUUCCCAGAAAUCCCUAGAACUACUGCUGUUCGCCCUUCCACAAAAAUUCUGGACAGCACCUCUACCGAUUCGCAUAGAUAAACAUAUAAUCAAUUGAAUUUUAGCGCAAAAACAUAGAUAACUUCAAGAUCACCUUGAGUUCCACCUUUUUCCUCCUUCCUUCCUCCCACCAAUUCUCCAAUUGAAACUUGCACCCACACGAAGAAGAUCCGACGAGGAAGAACGACACUUGGAGAAGAGGAGAUGGGGGUGGCGGCUAGGGUUGAGGAGAUGGCUGCUGCAAAAAACUUGAGAAUGGAGAGGGGGCGGCUGCAGCACUUGGGGAAGAGAGAAGAGGGAAGAGGGGGGAGGGUGACGGCCAAAGGAGGGAAGGGGGGUGGCUGCUCACAAGGGCCUUAAGAGAGGGGGCGGCUAGGGUUUUGGGGGGGAAAAGUGGGCUUCCCACCGCCGGAUCGCGAUCAACGGCCCAAAACCAUUCCUACGCCAGAGCUCUCGACCCCCGCGCACUGCGCACACAUCAAACAUAAAUUUUACUGUUUUACAGAUGUUUACCUCCUAAAAUUCCAAACCCCCCAUAGCACGGGACCCGCAAGAGAAAACAAAGAAAAAAAGAGUAAACUUCAAUUUCUCUUCUUUUUGAAAAUUGGGUAUCACACUCUACCCCCCCUUAAAAAGAAUUCGACCUCGAAUUCCGAUGCUUCUAUCGGAACGACAAAGGAAAGAUUAAUGAACCAACAAAACUCACACAUAAAGGAAAGUUCGGGUACUUCUAUCGCAUCAGCUCCUCAAGCUCCUAGGAUUCUAAGAUACGCAGCAGACGACACUCUAGAGUCUGGUCUUGCUACACAGGAAUCGGCUCUAGCUCGAUUUGAUGGUCUGGAUUCCGCAAAUACUUCCUCCACAUAAAGACAUGGAAUACAUGGUGUACUCUGAUCAUAGAUUUCGACAAUUGCAUAUGCUAAGCCCAGCUGCCAACUCGGCUAAGAUAGUAGACGGUCCUAUAUACCUCGGACAAAGCUUUCCUGACACCAAAUCAAUCAUUGACAUAUGCAAGUACUUCAAGGAAUGUAUAUAUGAAUGCACUGCAUAUAGUAUUCCUAUAGCCUAAACCAAACUUAGCCAAACAAGAGCAACUUCAAGAGAGUAACUUAAUGCUUGCAUAUUUUUGGAUAGCAGCACAACGGUUAAUUGUUUUGUUCAUAACUCAAAAAAUAAGCAUCCAAACAUAAUAAACUAGGACUUUAUGGAAAGCUUAUAAAGUCCACUAUACCCUUGGUAUUAUUUUCACAGCAAGAUUUGACACUUAGAAAGGUCAAACAAUGCUAAACGUAAAUUCUGUCCAGACUUGGACAGAAUUCAACUACUCAAUUCAAAAAUCCAUAAUUGGAGUCUCAGCCAUCCAAUUCAGGUGCUCCCAGACUUUUUAGAAAGCUAGUAUAAUUGUCUAUAAUUUAUUUAUAAACAUAUCAGGUUAAUUCAAUGCAUAUCAAGGUCAAAAGACAUGAGAAAGGCUCUGCUGUCCAAAUUUAGACAGAUUCAGAGAUCACACUUAAAACAGCCGUAACUUUACUUAUAGAUCUCCAAAAAGGGUGAUCCAAAGUUUGUUGAAAAGAUUAAGAAAGGUACUACAACUUCUUUAUAAUUUAUAAUAAGUUAUUCGAAGUUUAAAUUGGGAAAACAAGGUCAGUUUCGAAAUCUGUACAAAAUUUGCACAGAUUCCAAGACUGGACUUGAGAAAAUCAUAACUCCCAAACUACUAGACUUAUGGUCAUGAAAUUUUUACACAAGUAAGAUAAAGAAGUCGGCUACAACUUUUAUAUAUAACAUCUCUACAGAAAAGAUGGUUUACUUCAUUGAACUAGCUGCAUAACUAAAACUGGUCAUGCAGACCCAACAACAAGCAAUAGAUUUUAUUCAGGUUCAUUACUCUUCUAAGAUUAAGCGUUCAUCGAAAGACUAAUAACUUUAGGUUCUUCAUUACGAGAUACUUAGAACAAAUAUAAGUAUAGAAGCAAUAUGAUAACUUUUUAAACAAUUUAAGCCUAAUCUCACAUCAUGCAAACAGGAAUCUGUUUAAGCAUGUUAGGCCUGCCCACAUAUUCAUCCAAGCACAUUCUAUACAUUAUAUCAUCCCAUAUAUGAACUCUCUUUUUUUAAUUAUACUAUACAUAUAUCUAUCGAAUAACUCAGACAAAUUGCAUCUCAACCUAGACUUCACAUGACGUAACUAUUUCAUACUUACGCAAUCACGCCAAUACAAGAAAACGUGGCUUCACAACAAUACGUACUGGCCUAUUCAAACGUUCCUUGCUAUCUCUGUGUUCCAGCCCACGCUCCACAUAUACAUAAACAAGAUAACCAUCCCAACCACUACGUCUAUUCCCUCCCACCAUACAACUUAAUUAACAUGGAUUGCGAAAGAGCUCACCACAACUAAACCAAACUCCCAUGAAAAAAAUCACUAAGUAGAAAAUUGACAAUCAAUAGCACAAAUGUUCAUUUUUUCUACCUCUCACUAUAAAAGCAAUGGUAACAAUGAAAUAUUGUAAAAUCAUCUAAACUUCAUGAUCUACAACUUUCGUAUUCAAAAGAUAAACAAUUUUUUUCCAUCUACCAUUUUUAAUUUGACUUGUAAGGCGACAUACAUGAUCUGCCACCAGAAACUGACGAAACAUGACACAUAAAUUCAAAAUAUCAUAACUCCCUGCAGCUUAACAAAAUUUUGCAAAUAUAAACCCAUUGAAAAGAUUAUAACAUUCUGUAAAACUUUUAUUAUAAUGAGUGUCUCAAAAUUUGUUUUCAAACCGAUAAAAUAAUGUAACUCUUUUGUUGCAAAACUGAUAGGAUGGAAACAAUGGACAACUAAAAUUCAAAAACCUAUAACUCCUCCUAUACUCAACUUAAAACUACAACGAACACGCGUUGGAAAAGUUUGAAAAUUGUCCAUGACUUUUGCAAUAAAGUUGCACCCAAAUUUAUCUUUAUAGCCCUCAACUCUGCAUGACCUACAGCUAAACUCAGCCCGAGAUACUGCACAUUGGAGAUUCGACUUAUAAUCGGACAACCACCUCUCCCAAUCUAUUUAACAGACAAUUACAAGUAAAUACCCAUUUAAAAGGUACUGAGAAGAACUAAAGUUUUGCUUAAAGAGAAUUCCCAAAUUUGGGCUAUGAAACUAUCAAACCACGGUCGAUUUAUUGGUGGUUAUAACGACACCUAAAGUUCAGACACAACGGUGCAACAACUUUAGAGCAGCCUAACUCCAAUUAUAUACAAUGAAAAAUACAAACCAAUACUCUUUGGAAAGAUCAUGAAAUUACUAAAACUUUCAUAAUCUAACAAAGACCAAAUUAUACCAUCUUCAAGGUCUAUUCUUCCGUACAAAAUUAAGGCUGCUAUAGGAAACCCAUAACUCUCAAAUGUUUAGACCAAACUGGGUGAUUAAGCAUCAUAUGCAAACAUGAAGAAACCUACUACAAAACAUUCUAGAUAAGUGAAGCCUGAUUCAGCCUCCAACUAAUUUAAAAUGACUCCCAAAACCAAGCAACACCUUAACCACAAUAUAAAAUGAAACCCAAGGCAUUGGCAGGUGCAAUCAACACUAGGAUUUCCCACUACCAAAUGGGGAUGCAACUUCCCAAAGUCUUUAAACAACACUUUACCUAAUAGGUUAGAACACUAAGCAUAACAAUCAACGAAUUCAACAACCUCGUUUGUUAAUGCCACUAAGGUCAAACAUCCAUGUAGCGACAAUGUACGAAACACCUGACAUACCCAUCUCUAGCACUAUAAAACAUGGUUGUUAUUACACUAGAAUUCAACUACUAGAGAUCUCCACAACUAUUCUGUUGACGUGAAGCAUAUGGUGCUCAUGUCAUAUAACGUCUUUUUCUCCUCUCAAAAGAGAUAAAAUUUGCAACACUCAUAAAGCAAUGGAGGGAUAACAACAAGAAAACUAAUGUACUUCUUGACAUAGACUCAUGCAAAAGCUUCAUAAAUAUUACUUUCAAUACUAAAAUAAUAACACGAUACUAUGCUCAACAGGAGUAAUUGGACGUCAAUAAGACAAUCCACAUAACCAAACUACCUUGAUUAACCUCACAUACAACAAAACCUACUAUUACUGCACUUGAACAAUUUGUACCUCGUGAUAUCAUAGGAUGCAUUCAAAGUAGUACAAUGUUGGCAAAUAAAAAAAAUAUAAAAUGGGUUGUCAAUAUCGCCCACAUGACUAGCCUGCAACAACUAAAAAUUAUGCAUAGCCUUUAUAGCUAUUGAAACAAGCCAUAGAAGGAAAACAUGCAUGACAUAAAAUCCACUUGAAACCACCCUAUUUAUUGUUAAAAAUAAGGUUGCACAUAAUAAGAAAACCUAUCAGGUAGACAUGGUUGGACUUAUCAAUCUACGUCAUCUCACAAAUUCACUCGAGUUCUACCAGUCUAAAGAUUUCAUAGACAUUACAACGUUGCCUCUGCUCUAGAGAGACAAACCAAUUUUAUACUAAGAUCAAGUUAGCAAGUAGCCACACUAGCCUAAAAAAAGUGAGGCGCAAAGCAUUGCCUCCAUGGAAAUAUUACAUUGAUAAGUUGGGUUGUAGCCCAACAUUCAAUCAGACCCAACAACAUGAUAAAACUACAUUAUAUAGUGUUUUCACACCACACCAAGCCGGAUUAGACCCACUAUACACAGACUCAAUAAACAAUCGGUCCUACAAGUACUAGAACCCCAAAAAAUCCAUUUAAAAAAACAACCACAAUCAAGCAUAUAGAAAUAUAUGAUAGUAAUAGCUCAAAGAUUUGAAAACAUCGCAUAAAAAAACAUCAUGACGAUAUGUAUACAAAACAAGUACAUUAGUAGCUUCACUUGCAUAAUAACUUCAAUAACAACCACAUCAAGAAACCAAUAUUAAUUAGAAGUAACAUAUCAUAUCAAACAUUAAGUCGUUAACGACAUACCCCAUCAAACCAUAAAGGGAUUUGGAGUAAGGGAAUUCUAGUCAUCUAUACAAUAAAAUACUAAUAUGAAAGAUAUACGAACCCAUACCCUUCCUAUAUGUGCAAGUGUGUCAAAUUUAUCUUCAAAUUGCGUAGAAUCUAAAGCCUAUCCUCUGAUACCAACUGUAACACCCCGGAGUCCACAAACACCCCGGAAUGCUACUGAACAACACUUCUGACAUCUAUAUAUAAAAUUUCGGCAGCACCCCCUUUGCAAAAUUGCAUAAAUGAGGGGGGGCAACAGUGUAUAAACAUAUAUCAUGAUAAAAACAUACUAAGUAUUAUUAAUCGGCUAGCAAAGAGAAGUUAAACAUACGACAUGAACUGAAUUAACUAGUGCGCACGACUAGUUAAAAGAAACAAACUUCCUUUGACAAUAAGUUUCUAAUUAAAUCAUGGCUGCGCCUGGGCAGCGUUAUUGUGAGAGUGAAAGUGGACGUGCUGCUACUCCCCUCAUUCCCAACAUGUAUCAAGUACCUGCAUUGAGUAAUGCAAGAGUGAGAUGACACAUCUCAGCAAGUAAAAUAAUAUCAAAUUGUUUAACCACAUAAGAACAUUGUUUUACCACCACUUGAUUCCACAAUUUUCUUAUUACGACGGUGCAACACGUAUACAACGUACAACACACCUAGUCACCACACCUCGCAGGUAGAAACCACAAUAGUAACAUAGUAAUGUCACACUUCAUAUAUACCUCAUGAGUGCAAAUGUCUGCAAAUGCAAGGAUGACUUCUGCCUUCAUACCUCUAAGGAUAUGAAGCCGCAUCAUACCCCUCCUCGGGCAACGUACAAUGCUAAAAAUGUACCGGUACUGUCGGACCAUAAGAUCACGACAUAACUUCAAAAUGCAAGAUGGAUGAUGUGAUGUGCAUGUCAUGCCUACAACACUUCAUAUAACGUGAUUCAAAAAAGAUACUUCAACUUUAUCCAAGAUGGGAAUCAACCACAUAUAUCAUAACCAAAUUAUGAUCAUCCACAAUAUUAGACAAUUGAGAAUUAAUACUUCCAAACAAAUAAACUUCAUCAUAGAAUUCAAUGAUUAACAUAAUUAAAACUUAUGCAUACUCAAUGACAGGGAAUAGGAUGCAAAGCAAACGGUAGCAACCACCACUAUAUUUACUUGCCUUUACCGGAAGUUCGGUCAAAUCCCUAAGUACGAUCCGGAAGUCCACCACCUGUUUUUUUGACACACAACUUAGUGCACCAAUUUCACAUAAUCUGGCUCAUAAACGACGCCGCACCUACGCACAAACUCAAACCCCGCCGCGGGUUACAUCUCUCCCCACACCCACCAAACUGCAGCGGCGCUGCUUAAUAAUUUUAUAACUUUAAAAUUAAGACAGCAGUGGUAACAAACAAAAACUCCAUAGUCAUCUACAUAAAAUUCCCCACACGUUUUGUAUACAAUUUAUAAUUAAAUUCCAACAUCUAAUUAGCCCAAAACAGUCCACAAGAUGAACCCUGUAAUCUGUUUUUUUGUCUUUUGGACAGCGACAUACCCGGAUUCAAACAGCGAUAUCUUUUAAAAUAUAAUUCCAAAUCAAGCGCAUAAGUACUCAUUGGAAAGAUAAGACAAAGCCCUACAUGAUUAUAAUACUGGUUAACACUAAUUACCCACGAAAAAUUCCCAGAAACUGCUAAUACUACUGUUGUUCACCCACCUGAAAAUUCUGUUUCUUUUGGACAACAACAUAACCGGAUUCAAACAACGAUAUCUCCUAAAUUAUAACUCCGAAUCGAGCGCAUAAGUACUCGUUGGAAAGGUAUGACAAAGCUCUACAUGAUUCUCCCACUGAUCCCCACUAAUUGCCCACGAAAAAUUCCCAGAAACUGCUAAUACUACUGCUGUUCACCCACCUGAAAAAUCUGUUUCUUUUGGACAGCAACAUAACCGGAUUCAAACAAUGAUAUCUCCUAAAUUAUAACUCCGAAUCGAGCGCAUAAGUACUCGUUGGAAAGGUAUGACAAAGCUCUACAUGAUUCUCCCACUGAUCCCCACUAAUUGUCCACGAAAAAUUCCCAGAAAUCCCUAGAACUACUGCUGUUCGCCCUCCCACAAAAAUUCUGGACAGCACCUCUACCGAUUCGCAUAGAUAAACAUAUAAUCAAUUGAAUUUUAGCGCAAAAACAUAGAUAACUUCAAGAUCACCUUGAGUUCCACCUUUUUCCUCCUUCCUUCCUCCCACCAAUUCUCCAAUUGAAACUUGCACCCACAUGAAGAAGAUCCGACGAGGAAGAACGACACUUGGAGAAGAGGAGAUGGGGGGUGGCGGCUAGGGUUGAGGAGAUGGCUGCUGCAAAAAACUUGAGAAUGGAGAGGGGGCGGCUGCAGCACUUGGGGAAGAGAGAAGAGGGAAGAGGGGGGGAGGGUGACGGCCAAAUGAGGGAAGGGGGGAGG